UUGUUUACUGUCUUGAACACGCGGCGCUUAAAGUGUUUGUGUGUGCUAUAUUUAUUUUGACUUGUCCCAUAGAAUUCACUACUAUAUUUGUUUUGACUUGUCCCAAAGUAUUCGCUGCUAGAUUUAGGGUUGGUUAUCCAGUGUGUGUAAAACUAUUGUUGUUUUAGUGUAUGCAAACAGUGCUUCACUUGUUUUAGAGUAUUAUCUAUUACUAAAGUGCAGCAUAAUUUAUUUGCUGUGUACAGAAGUCACAUUUGUUCCCGUGCUUGGCACCCCUUAGUUUUGGUUGACCACGUGACAAGCUUUGUUGUGCUAAGUAGCAUUAAGGCGUGGCUGCUUUUUCCACUGAACGGCUCGUUAAAAGUGUGUAUUUAUUGGACUGAAUGCUGACACGGAAGCGGCAGCUCUCAUGUCAAGCCCUCCUCGUGUGAAAACCUACUUGGGUAAAGACCAGCGAGUCUACCUGUGCGAGUCCACCGAGCAAGGACACUGACAAGGCGCCACUCACCAUAGCACUUAAGUAUUUUUUAUUUUAUCUCUUAUUAUUUUACUUCUACAUACUAACAUGUCUAGUUCACUAAUAACACAUGCCUUCAAGCACAUCCCUGUUAUCUGUUGUAGACCAUUCACAAGAUACAGAUGCAAGACCAAAUGCAACCCACACAACCUACGGCCACUUUGCACUUCAGCACCUUCGCCGCUCUCGUUAUCAGUGGGACUCUGGAACUGCCAGGCUGCUGUGAACAAAGCUGCAUUCAUUCCAGCCUUUGCCACACAGUCCACCCUCAGCAUCCUGGCACUGACGGAUACGUCCUGAGGAUACAGCAACACCUGCUGCUCUCUCCAACAACUUCUCCUUCUCUCACAUCCCUCAUCAUACCAGUAGGGGAACAGGUCAGCUGACAAGCUUUCUUGAGGAGUUGGAUGUCCUGCUGUCCUCCUUCCCAGAGGAUGGCAGGCCACUUGUGGUUCUUGGCGAUUUCAACAUACACCAAGACAAGCCCCAGGCCACUGAACUGAAUACUCUUCUGGACUCACUUGAUUUGGAAAAACUACACACCACAGCAACUCACAGAUCGGGCAAACAGCUGGACCUCAUUUUUACACACCAUCUCAUACUACACCAUCCAGCCCCGGGCUGUCUGACGUUCUUCGUGAACAUCAGACUUAUCUCAGAGCAGCUGAGAGGAGAUGGCAUGAAUCUAGAGAUCCAGCAGAUCUAGGUAACCAGAACCGGCUGGAUCCAGCUCCAUUCCUGUUUCGUGACUCCACUGCUACGUGUCUAUGAGUGAUGAUGACUAAAUGCAGCCGGUGCCAGCCAAACAUCACUUCAGUCUAUUACGAUGGACUUCAGAGGAUGAACCGAGGCCAACUCCAACCAUAAGACAUGGCCAUCAAAUGCCAUUGCCUGAACGAUGGACUUGAGAUAGACCUCACUGAAAUUACCAGCUGGUUGAACUGAUGCACCUCACUGAUCUCUGCCUGCAUCACCUCGGCCUAAUGAUGGACUACACUCUUAUAAUGGAAUACAUAGACUAUCAAUGAAUUAACAAAACCCUUCAUCGGCCAACUCACAAAGGACAAUGCAGUUAAUCCAGGAUGAACUUCAAAGACAUAAGUCAUUAAUCUUAGUUUUUACAAAAUCUUUGUUUAAACACUGACCCUUAACACUUACUUAGUUUAAUCAUUUUAAACCAUGACUUGCACUGCACACAAAUAACUAAUAUUGGCAUUAUAUUCAUGAUGUUAGCAAGAAGGGAAACUGUCCCUACAGUGAGUCUGGUUUCGCUUUGGCUUGCUCACUGGGGUUCUAAAUACAAUUAUUAUUGAAUUACUUAUUUUUAAACACAAUUCACAAUUGUAUUUUAUCAAACUACACAAUGAUGACUAAGACUUUAUAGAUAUUACGGAUUCAUUUUCUGUUGCAUGAUUUCUGUAAAGCUGCUUUGAAAUAAUGUGUGUUGUGAAAGGUGCUAUACAAAUAAA